CAGGCCUAACACAUGCAAGUCGAGCGGGCCCUUCGGGGUCAGCGGCGGACGGGUGAGUAACGCGUGGGAACGUGCCUUCUGGUCUGGAAUAACCCUGGGAAACUAGGGCUAAUACCGGAUACGCCCUUUUGGGGAAAGGUUUACUGCCGGAAGAUCGGCCCGCGUCUGAUUAGCUAGUUGGUGGGGUAAAGGCCUACCAAGCCGACGAUCGGUAGCUGGUCUGAGAGGAUGAUCAGCCACACUGGGACUGAGACACGGCCCAGACUCCUACGGGAGGCAGCAGUGGGGAAUAUUGGACAAUGGGCGAAAGCCUGAUCCAGCAAUGCCGCGUGAGUGAUGAAGGCCUUAGGGUUGUAAAGCUCUUUUACCCGGGAUGAUAAUGACAGUAUCGGGAGAAUAAGCCCCGGCUAACUCGGUGCCAGCAGCCGCGGUAAU
rnacentral:rRNA from 1 species